UACGGAAGGCAGCAGUGGGGAAUUUUGGACAAUGGGCGAAAGCCUGAUCCAGCCAUGCCGCGUGCAGGAUGAAGGCCUUCGGGUUGUAAACUGCUUUUGUACGGAACGAAAAGCCUCUUUCUAAUAAAGAGGGGUCAUGACGGUACCGUAAGAAUAAGCACCGGCUAACUACGUGCCAGCAGCCGCGGUAAUACGUAGGGUGCAAGCGUUAAUCGGAAUUACUGGGCGUAAAGCGUGCGCAGGCGGUUUUUGUAAGCAGAGGUGAAAUCCCCGGGCUCAACCUGGGAACUGCCUUUGUGACUGCAAGGCUGGAGUGCGGCAGAGGGGGAUGGAAUUCCGCGUGUAGCAGUGAAAUGCGUAGAUAUGCGGAGGAACACCGAUGGCGAAGGCAAUCCCCUGGGCCUGCACUGACGCUCAUGCACGAAAGCGUGGGGAGCAAACGAGAUUAGGAUACC
rnacentral:rRNA from 1 species